GAUGAACGCUAGCGGCAGGCCUAAUACAUGCAAGUCGGACGGGAUUUGGGAGCUUGCUCCUAAUGAGAGUGGCGCACGGGUGCGUAACACGUAUGUAACCUACCUUAAUCAGGGGGAUAGCCUCUCGAAAGAGAGAUUAACGCCGCAUAACAUAUUUUUAUGGCAUCGUAGAAAUAUCAAAUAUUUAUAGGAUUAAGAUGGGCAUGCGGAACAUUAGCUAGUUGGUAAGGUAACGGCUUACCAAGGCUACGAUGUUUAGGGGAUCUGAGAGGAUGACCCCCCACACUGGUACUGAGACACGGACCAGACUCCUACGGGAGGCAGCAGUAAGGAAUAUUGGUCAAUGGGCGCAAGCCUGAACCAGCCAUGCCGCGUGCAGGAAGACGGCCCUAUGGGUUGUAAACUGCUUUUGUACCGGAAUAAACCCUUUUACGUGUAGAAGGCUGAAUGUACGGUAAGAAUAAGGAUCGGCUAACUCCGUGCCAGCCGCCGCGGUAA
rnacentral:rRNA from 1 species